rnacentral:rRNA from 1 species
UCAAAUCAUCAUGCCCCUUAUGACCUGGGCUACACACGUGCUACAAUGGUUGGUACAACGAGUUGCGAGUCGGUGACGGCGAGCUAAUCUCUUAAAGCCAAUCUCAGUUCGGAUUGUAGGCUGCAACUCGCCUACACGAAGUCGGAAUCGCUAGUAAUCGCGGAUCAGCACGCCGCGGUGAAUACGUUCCCGGGCCUU